rnacentral:rRNA from 1 species
AUACGGGAGGCAGCAGUGAGGAAUAUUGCGCAAUGGGGGAAACCCUGACGCAGCGACGUCGUGUGAGGGAAGAAGGCUUUCGGGUCGUAAACCUCUGUCAGAAGGGAAGAAACGUCAGGAUUCGAAUAGGGUCCUGGCCUGACGGUACCUUCAAAGGAAGCGCCGGCUAACUCCGUGCCAGCAGCCGCGGUAAUACGGAGGGCGCGAGCGUUAAUCGGAAUCACUGGGCGUAAAGCGUGCGUAGGCGGUUUGAUAAGUCAGACGUGAAAUCCCUCGGCUCAACCGGGGAACUGCGUUUGAAACUGUUAGACUCGAGUCCUGGAGAGGGUGGCGGAAUUCCUGGUGUAGGAGUGAAAUCCGUAGAUAUCAGGAGGAACACCGGUGGCGAAGGCGGCCACCUGGACAGGUACUGACGCUGAGGCACGAAAGCGUGGGGAGCAAACAGGAUUAGAUACCCUUGUAGUCU